rnacentral:rRNA from 1 species
UACGUAGGGUGCGAGCGUUGUCCGGAAUUACUGGGCGUAAAGAGUUCGUAGGCGGUUUGUCGCGUCGUCUGUGAAAACCCAUCGCUCAACGAUGGGCCGGCAGGCGAUACGGGCAGACUUGAGUACUGCAGGGGAGACUGGAAUUCCUGGUGUAGCGGUGAAAUGCGCAGAUAUCAGGAGGAACACCGGUGGCGAAGGCGGGUCUCUGGGCCGAUACUGACGCUGAGGAGCGAAAGCGUGGGGAGCGAACAGG